rnacentral:rRNA from 1 species
CACGUAGGGCGCAAGCGUUGUCCGGAAUUAUUGGGCGUAAAGCGCGCGCAGGCGGUCCUUUAAGUCUGAUGUGAAAGCCCACGGCUCAACCGUGGAGGGUCAUUGGAAACUGGGGGACUUGAGUGCAGGAGAGAAGAGUGGAAUUCCACGUGUAGCGGUGAAAUGCGUAGAGAUGUGGAGGAACACCAGUGGCGAAGGCGACUCUUUGGCCUGUGAAC